rnacentral:tRNA from 1 species
GUGCUAGUAACCCAUGUUGGCUGGGUGCCACUCUUCCAAAGUGGAUUUCGCGGGUUCGAUUCCUGUCUAGCACACGU